rnacentral:lncRNA from 1 species
CAUUAGGAGCCCCAAAAGAGAGAUAAUGAGCCUCGAGGUACCGAAUCCACUUAGAACAAAUUUGUGUGUCUUUUUAUUGAUUUUCAUUGAUUUCUUUUACAUAUUUCAUCCAUAUUUCUCCCCUUUUACAUAUUGUAUACAUAUUUCUCCCCCUUUUUGUCAUCAUACCAAAAAGGAGAUAAUCACACACAAUCAAUGGCACAACCAAUCAUCAAAUGGCACAGAAAUGAAGAUAAGAUGUCUACUCAUUGUAUUGAUAUGAAUGUGAAUACAUUUGAGCAUACAAUACGUAAAGCAAAGCAAUACAAAACAAAGCAAAAAGAACAUCUAUGGUCUCCUCGAGGAUGAAGAUCCCCCUCUCGAGGAUGCAUCUCCUCCUCUGGAGGAUGUGGCUCCUCCUCUCGAGGAUGUGGCUCCUCCUCUCAAUCGGCUCUGCUCCAUAAGGAGGGUGACUGCAUCUGUGACAUGGCCAAGCUGUGUG